rnacentral:rRNA from 1 species
GACGAACGCUGGCGGCGUGCUUAACACAUGCAAGUCGAACGGAAAGGCCCUGCUUUUGUGGGGUGCUCGAGUGGCGAACGGGUGAGUAACACGUGAGUAACCUGCCCUUGACUUUGGGAUAACUUCAGGAAACUGGGGCUAAUACCGGAUAGGAGCUCCUGCUGCAUGGUGGGGGUUGGAAAGUUUCGGCGGUUGGGGAUGGACUCGCGGCUUAUCAGCUUGUUGGUGGGGUAGUGGCUUACCAAGGCUUUGACGGGUAGCCGGCCUGAGAGGGUGACCGGCCACAUUGGGACUGAGAUACGGCCCAGACUCCUACGGGAGGCAGCAGUGGGGAAUAUUGCACAAUGGGCGGAAGCCUGAUGCAGCAACGCCGCGUGCGGGAUGACGGCCUUCGGGUUGUAAACCGCUUUCGCCUGUGACGAAGCGUGAGUGACGGUAAUGGGUAAAGAAGCACCGGCUAACUACGUGCCAGCAGCCGCGGUGAUACGUAGGGUGCGAGCGUUGUCCGGAUUUAUUGGGCGUAAAGGGCUCGUAGGUGGUUGAUCGCGUCGGAAGUGUAAUCUUGGGGCUUAACCCUGAGCGUGCUUUCGAUACGGGUUGACUUGAGGAAGGUAGGGGAGAAUGGGAUUCCUGGUGGAGCGGUGGAAUGCGCAGAUAUCAGGAGGAACACCAGUGGCGAAGGCGGUUCUCUGGGCCUUUCCUGACGCUGAGGAGCGAAAGCGUGGGGAGCGAACAGGCUUAGAUACCCUGGUAGUCCACGCUGUAAACGGUGGGUACUAGGUGUGGGGUCCAUUCCACGGGUUCCGUGCCGUAGCUAACGCUUUAAGUACCCCGCCUGGGGAGUACGGCCGCAAGGCUAAAACUCAAAGGAAUUGACGGGGCCCCGCACAAGCGGCGGAGCAUGCGGAUUAAUUCGAUGCAACGCGUAGAACCUUACCUGGGUUUGACAUGGAUCGGGAGUGCUCAGAGAUGGGUGUGCCUCUUUUGGGGUCGGUUCACAGGUGGUGCAUGCCUGUCGUCAGCUCGUGUCGUGAGAUGUUGGGUUAAGUCCCGCAACGAGCGCAACCCUUGUUUACUGUUGCCAGCACGUUAUGGUGGGGACUCAGUGGAGACCGCCGGGGUCAACUCGGAGGAAGGUGGGGAUGACGUCAAGUCAUCAUGCCCCUUAUGUCCAGGGCUUCACGCAUGCUACAAUGGCUGGUACAGAGAGUGGCGAGCCUGUGAGGGUGAGCGAAUCUCGGAAAGCCGGUCUCAGUUCGGAUUGGGGUCUGCAACUCGACCUCAUGAAGUCGGAGUCGCUAGUAAUCGCAGAUCAGCAACGCUGCGGUGAAUACGUUCCCGGGGCU